UGGAAUGAAUAAUAGCCGCUAGAGGUCGCUGCAGCUCCAUACUAACCGCAGGCAGCAAACAAAGCAGUGAAUCUGCUCCUACACAUAUGGCGUACGUUACUGUCUCGGUCUUCUUCAAAUAACUGUCAUUUGCAUAAACGCCGGCGGCCGCGUGAGUCAUGUCACACCGUGAUGUGAUUAAGGGAUUCAAACUGUUCACCGUGCUCCUACUCUGCCUCGGUUCUCCAGUUGAUGGAGAACGUAGAACAGAACACACACACUUGGGAUUGGAUGAAGUGGUGAUCGUUGUCCAGAGUCAGAGAAACUCUUACCACGCACGUCGAGCCACUCAGAGGAAGGAAGAGAUUCUACAGCAGGCAGCGGGGCUCGGACAGCCUCCUCCAGUUGUCCUUCUUCUCCACGAGCUAUCUGAAUAUGAAGGAGUGUGGAGCAUUCUCCCUGCCCUUCCUCACCUCUCUCUAACCAAUGGACCGUCAGCCAUGUGGUUCUUCUUCAUAGAGGAAGAAACCAGAGUUACAGUGGCUGCCCUGGGGCAGGUACUGCAGCGGUACCAGGCACAUGAGGAAUGGUUUUUGGGCAGGCGUCUCUGUGACGUGGAGGCCUCCAUCAUUCACCAUUACGCCUUCUCUGAGGACCCCUCCUCUUUUGGUUACCCUGACCCCGCGGCGGGCUGGGCUCUUAGCGCUCCUCUCCUCCGCAGACUUGCAGACCGUAUGUUACAUGAGCAUCUGAAGUCGGACUUUACCAUCGACUUGAGUCAUGAGAUUGCUUUAUAUAUCCUCGAGGAAGGGAAUGGACCAAAGCUGACAGCAGUCCGGGAAUUUUGUAUCGAGUCAGAGGAAAACUGUGCUUCUACGUUCACAUCCUACCUGCCUGACUGUGGGGAGCCAGUUUCGAGGAGAGACUUAUUUGUUGCCGUAAAAACAUGGCAUAAAUUCCACUCGGACCGAGUGUCAGUGGUAAAGGCGACCUGGGAGAAGGAGGCUGAGUUUUUAGAAUAUUACAGCGAUGUGGCUGAUGAUUCCAUUCCCACAAUCAGUCUUGGAAUACCAAACACUGAGAGAGGGCACUGUGGUAAGACAUUUGCCAUUUUGAGACGGUUCCUAAGCGAUGCAGUUCCGAAAACCGAUUGGCUCCUCAUCGUUGAUGAUGAUACACUUAUCAGUUUACCUCGGUUACGAAGGCUGCUGCGAUGCUAUGACCCAAAAGAAGAAGUGAGUCUCGGGGAGAGAUAUGGCUAUGGCUUGGUGCAGAAUGGAUACAGCUACAUCACAGGGGGAGGAGGGAUGGUGCUCAGCAGAGCGGCAGUUUCCAGGUUACUUUCCAGUGGCUGUAGCUGCUACAGUGAUGAUGCUCCUGAUGACAUGGUUCUGGGCAGGUGCCUCACUUCCCUUGGUGUAUCCAUCACACACAGUCCACUGUUCCACCAGGCCCGGCCAGAUGACUACACCAAUCAGCUGAGCUCCUUACAGCAGGCUGUCUCCUUCCACAAGCACUGGAACAUAGAUCCUGUGUCUGUCUACAAACACUGGCUGCAGGACACACAGCUACGAGAUGAACUCUAGAUGCACUCGGCCUCCUCAAACCAAGUCAGAGGACCGUGACCGGAUAAAAACGCCUGGACUCUCUCCUGUCCACACAGUCCUGCAUUUGGUUCCUCAUUCAUCUGUGUCGGGAGUCAUCUACACUGACAGAACUACUUCAGAAUCAGAAAUUUGAUUGCCUGGGGAAAAUUGCAACCGAUGUUAUCUGGAAUACAGAAGAAAAAAAAAUUAAAAACUGGAGGCUGGGCAUCUUGGCAGAGAGUCAGAGGAAACAGUCUCUUCUGAUGAAGCCGCUGAUAGUAGAGAGGACCGACCUUCAGCCACCUCCAGCCAACAACAAACAUCCUGCAUCUGAUGCAGCCGCUGUGUCUACGAUUGUUUUCCAACGUACCUGCGAACCCAGGUCCACAGACCUGGACCACUAAGACACACCGAUUUAACCACCACUAACACUGGCCUUGAGAAAUACAGGUACCGUCAACAAUUGGUCCUACAAUUUGACAAGGGGGGCGGGGUCAGGAGCAGAAAGAUGGCAUGUAAAAGUCAUGCAGAGGCUAAAAUGCUAAAAUGCUUUUAGCCUUCUCCAGGCCAUCUAUAGGGAAAAUGUAGGAAUUGCAGGGUAAAGGCAGAAGUAUAAUCACAAAACAAACCAAUUAUAGAAUUUGAACAAGUUUGGUGCACCGGAUUACAAAGCUGAACGGGCCACAUCCGGCCCCCGGGCCUUAGUUUGCCCAUGCCUGGUCUAAACUCUGAUCAUGGGAAACAAUGAGUAAUAUUUUAAAUGUUAUGUGCAACGAUCAUUUUUACUUGUUCAGCAGCAAAAGACGCAAGGGAGUUCUCUGUUUAGUCUGUUUGUUAUUUAUUUUUUCCAGAACUCUGUGACGCCUUACUUCAGCACUAUUUGUAAAAAAAAAAAAAAAAAACAGCUGAGCUCACAAAACAGGUGCAAAAACAGGUACAAAACAAUAUCAGCACCAACCUCAGGGUUUUUGUUUAUUUUUAUUUAAAUCUAAAGGUUGUUAGAAUUCCUAGCAUGGCUAACACGAACCCUAGUUUCUGCUACAAGUUUCUCCCCAUUUAUAUGUAAGUCUCUCCAGGGCGAGGAAUAAACUGUAGAAACAUCAGUCAUUCAGUUCACAACCUUUUCUGUUGAAGCCAAGCGCAGAGACAUAAGACGGUACAGGCUCUAUAAUCCUGGGGAGGUACUUCAAAGUACUCUCUGCAGUCCUUCCUGUCACUAAAAUACUCCUUAGGAAACUUGAAUGGUCGAGAAAAUAACUUUAAAGGGGAAUCAGUUACUCUUGAACGAGGUAACAAACUGUGUGUGGGUGUUUGUGCGAGGGAGAGAGAAAGGAAUAUAUAGAUGGAGAAACUUGCUAUUCUCUAAUUGGUUUCUUUUAAUUAUUAUCUGUUGUUGCCAUAAAUAGUUGCCGUCUGUGCCUGUGGUAGGAGUGUAUUAAUAGAGCGCUGAAUAUAGAUGUGUUUAUUGUAGAUGUUAUUUGAUAAAUGACUAAACUGUUGAGUAAAACAAGUUGAUUUAUACAGUUGAGCUUUUUAACUUUUAACUUUUUUUUCAGCAUUUCUGACAUUUACCUUGUUUUGUCUUUUUGUUUUUCGACCUUUUUCCCCCUCAACGCUGCCCUGCUUUAAAAUAAUGAUUGUUUAAUAUCCAUCACAGCUUUGUGCAGCUGUGAAAUGUCAAGAUGGCGUUAAUAAAGUUCUUGACAUUUGACGACUAUUUAAACCCUUAUUGUAUUACAUUUCAUUUUCAUCUCUCCCUCCAGAGGAGCGUCCUACGUUGCACUUUGAACACUAGACGGCAUUUAUAAAACUCCACUAAUUAUUUUGUUCUCACAGGUAUAGGCAGAGAAAACUCUCACAGCUUAAAGCCUACGUUCACAGAUAACCCCCGCAGAUUAAAUUUUAGCUAAACAACUGCAGCUCGUCUGUGGGAGGGGUUUAAACACGGAGCUAUUUUCUGUUCCUCUUGUUGAAUUAGUUUUUUUUUUUUUUGUGCGUCUUCCUCUCUCUUCUCCUGCAGUGGUGCAGUGAUAAGAAUCUUGCCUGCUUUGCGGUAGGUCGCAGAUUCAACUCAACCCAACUCUGCCUUACCACCAAACAACAACAGUGUCAGUUUGGCUACUAACUCUGUGGUAACUUUUGUUAAAAGGAAGUGUGCAGCUCCCAUUUUCCAAACCACUCACACCAAGAUUAUACAGCAGCCUGUCAAUGAAAUAUUUUUAAUUGUAAUUGUGGUUUCAUAAUGAAUUUCAUUCAUGUUUUAAUGAGACGUUUAGUUUUGAAAUGAUUCAGUCAUGAAUUAUUCAGCCGUUCACUCCUUUUAGCACAUGGCAGAUGCCUCAGUGUUAUGAUGUCACUGUGAUCGGUCUUACACGUGGCAAAGUUAAGUGAUGCUGUUUGGUGUAAGUCUUCAGAUGCCUUUUGCUGGGGGUGGCUCUCAGUUUGUUCAUAAAUAAAUCGUUUUUAUUUUUUGACAUAUGGUGACUUUAUCACUCAGGCCUGUUUGGCCAAAAAUGUGUUUUAAAGUUAAAAAAAAAGUAUCGUAGUGCUGAUGCUGAAACUGAUGCAGAUUCUAAAGGAACAUUGUGCUCUGUUUUUAAAAUUCAUUUUUGCAUAACCUGCUGUUUCAAAUUUGAACUGAGACAUUACUUUCCUAAUAAUUAAAAAGGAGGAGAUUUCAAAAAAGUUCCAGUAUUAUAAUUAUUAUGAACUGGUGUAAUUGAUUUUUACCAGUAAAGUGCUAAGUACACUCUUCUCCUGUGUUAUUUGACUAUAUUUAUUAGAUGAGGUACAUUUUGUCUUCCUCAGAAUCCAAAUCAGAUUUUCACUGUUCCUGGUGAAAUAAAAUGAGAAUGAAUGGAGCAGAUUUGCACAUCCAUUAGUCAGACAAUGGGACUUGAUCAAUGGGGUUUUGGAGAUGAUCACUGUCCUCCUAAUAAGGAUGUAGUGGAUGAAAGAGAAUGAGCUGAAUUCUGAUGACACGCAAUAAUAAAACAGAGCAGACGUUCUCCUCAUUGAUGUUGUCAGCCCAUUGUAGUCCAUAAGUGUUGAUUGGUGCAAAUGGGUCUCUCCUGUGAAACGAGAUGGUUUUCCUCUCUGAGCUGCAGGCCAACUCCCCAUGAAUAAACAACAGACUACUUUUUUUUUUUAAAUACACCAUUAAACCACUUGGAGUGUGAGUGAGGUGAACCUAUGUGGUACAGGUGGUAAGUUAAGUUUAUUAAUUAUAAGGACUGAGCGUAACAUGGGAUACAUUUUACUUUAAAAUCUAUUUGACAUUAAAUUAACAAAUUAACACUACAUGCAGUACAGUGUGUGUUACGAUUAGCCAUAUGUAUAUAUGUAAAUAUAUACACACAUAUAUAUAUAUACAUGAAAUUGCUUAAUAGUUAUAUCAAUUUUUGAACUGUAUGUAUAUUACAUUUCUGGCCAUUUGAAAACUGGAUAUUGACCAACAUCUGAUUAAAUUUUUUAUGAAUAAUUCAAAGGAAGCCUGUGACAAACGUUACAUGUUUCUUUUCAUCCCUGUCCAAAAAACCUCUCAUCCACUCAAAAAAGUCAUUUUUUUGGUAAUAUUUUCCAUUAAAGAACC